AAAGUCGUAACAAGGUUUCCGUAGGUGAACCUGCGGAAGGAUCAUUAGAGAAUCGGAACGGGCUCGAGUCCCGCAUCUCACUCUACAACACACUGUGAACCGUUUUGGCCGGUCGGGGAGACCCGGUCGGGGGCGCCGCAAUUGGAUUUGCCGUCCAAAUUACCCUCUAUAACACACAGUCUCGGAUGUCAACGCCGCGAGGUGUAAGAAAGUCAAAACAACUUUCAGCAACGGAUCUCUAGGCUCUC
rnacentral:misc_RNA from 1 species